UACGUAGGGGGCUAGCGUUGUCCGGAAUCAUUGGGCGUAAAGAGCGUGUAGGCGGCUCGGUAAGUCCGCUGUGAAAGUCCAGGGCUCAACCCUGGAAUGCCAGUGGAAACUGUCGAGCUAGAGUCCGGAAGAGGCGAGUGGAAUUCCGUGGUGUAGCGGUGAAAUGCGCAGAUAGUCAGGAGGAACACCAAUGGCGAAGGCAGCUCGCUGGGACGGUAACUGACGCUGAGACGCGAAAGCGUGGGGAGCAAACAGG
rnacentral:rRNA from 1 species